AUUAUUUCUAAGCGUCACAACCAUUAGUAACGAACCUAUCAGCGGCCAGGCACAUUCGGUUACAUUUUUAAAAAAGAACCCCUUUGCAAGGCAGCCAACAAAAUGUAAUGGGUGAAUGCCGAUUAUUUGAGCGGGGUCCUUACUCAGGGUCCUUACAAUUCUUAGCGGCCUGUCGGAAAUAGAAGAUGUACUAUGACCUUGACCCUGCGCCCCGUCGUCAGCGGCACCGUGAGGCCGGCCCGCCUCUGGAUCCGGAAGAAAGGAGCAGGCUCAGUAAGGGCUAUACGCAAACAAUUGUUUACACUUCGAAUGACUAGCCAAUGUACUGUUUAAGAAUUAGAUUUUAACGGAAUAUUAAGUUUGUAUAUUGUAUAUGCAAUGCAUUAAUGGGGCUCAUGGAAGACAUAUACGGGUUUAUUUUAAAAACAAUAGUAUGAUCUUUAAAUAAAUGGUUGCUAAACAAAUAUAUAUAAAAUACUUA